UUCCGGCGACUCCCGUUCAGACUUUCGGCAGGACGCAAUAGAACUACACGUUCCGAUAAGCUUCAGGAAAACUUGCCCAGGUACUAGUCGCGGCGGCGAGGUCAGUUUGCGCGUUUGGGAGUGAAUAGCUAAGCAGCACCGGCCGGGAUGUGCAAGAGUCGGUAGCAGUUGACCUUGGGCGCAUCAAAGCCUACUUUCAGGUUUUCCACCGGG
rnacentral:lncRNA from 1 species